AGAUUAAAGCAAAAACCAGCUUCUUCAUGACCUUUGGAUAAGCCAUGCUGUUGGUUCUUUGAAGAUUGGCAUGG
rnacentral:lncRNA from 1 species